rnacentral:tRNA from 1 species
GCCGAUAUGGUGGAACUGGUAGACACGCCAUCUUGAGGUGGUGGUGAUUCUUAUCGUGUGGGUUCGAGUCCCACUAUCGGCACCA